rnacentral:ribozyme from 18 species
GGCGAGACUUGCGUGCAGAAAUAGCGCCGCACAGGACUGAAAAUGAAGCACAAAAAACUUCUGGCAAGGCAAGCAGCUUGGCUUGCGCUUUGGAAACAAUUCACUGCCAGAAGCUUGCAGUGAG